rnacentral:rRNA from 1 species
AGUGAACGCUGGCGGCGUGCUUAACACAUGCAAGUCGAACGAGAACGGAAUAUAGCUUGCUAUAUUUGUCAGCUAAGUGGCGCACGGGUGAGUAAUGUAUAGAUAACCUGCCCUUAAGAAAGGAAUAACAGUUGGAAACGACUGCUAAUGCCCUAUAUGCCUUUAAUACAUAAGUAUGCAAGGGAAACGCUUUAGUGCUUAAGGAUGGGUCUGUAUGGUAUCAGCUUGUUGGUGAGGUAAUGGCUCACCAAGGCUAUGACGCCUAACUGGUUUGAGAGGAUGAUCAGUCACACUGGAACUGAGACACGGUCCAGACUCCUACGGGAGGCAGCAGUAGGGAAUAUUGCACAAUGGACGAAAGUCUGAUGCAGCAACGCCGCGUGGAGGAUGACACAUUUCGGUGCGUAAACUCCUUUUAUAUAGGAAGAUAAUGACGGUACUAUAUGAAUAAGCACUGGCUAACUCCGUGCCAGCAGCCGCCGUAA